rnacentral:rRNA from 1 species
GAUGAACGCUGGCGGCGUGCUUAACACAUGCAAGUCGAACGGAAAGGCUCCUGCUUGCAGGGGUACUCGAGUGGCGAACGGGUGAGUAACACGUGGGUGAUCUGCCCUGCACUUCGGGAUAAGCCUGGGAAACUGGGUCUAAUACCGGAUAGGACGAUGGUUUGGAUUCCAUUUUUGAACGUUUUUCGGUGUGGGAUUCGCUCGCGGCCUAUCAGCUUGUUGGUGGGGUAAUGUCCUACCAAGGCGUAGACGGGUAGCCGGCCUGAGAGGGUGUACGGCCAAAAUGGGACUGAGAUACGGACCAGACGCCAACGGGAGGCAGGAGUGGGGAAUAUUGCACAAUGGGAGCAAGCCAGAUGAAGCGAAGCCGCGUGGGGGAUGACGGCCGUCGGGUUGUAAACUACUUUCGCUAGGGACGAAGCGCAAGUGACGGUACCUGGAGAAGAAGCACCGGCUAACUACGUG